rnacentral:rRNA from 1 species
CCCUUAGAUGUUCUGGGCCGCACGCGCGCUACACUGAUGCAUUCACCGAGCCUAUCCUUGACCGACAGGUCCGGGUAAUCUUUGAAUCUGCAUCGUGACGGGGAUAGAUUAUUGCAAUUAUUAAUCUUCAACGAGGAAUGCCUAGUAGGCGCAAGUCAUCAGCUUGCGUCGAUUACGUCCCUGCCCUUUGUACACACCGCCCGUCGCUCCUACCGAUUGGGUGUGCUGGUGAAAUGUUCGGAUCGGCCGUUUGUCGCGGUUUCCGCGUCAUGUGGCUGAGAAGUUCAUUAAACCCUCCCACCUAGAGGAAGGAGAAGUCGUAACA